GCUAAGUAGAUUCCAUACCUGGUACUGGAAACCUAGCCAAUUACCCAUGGCUAGCGAAAUCACGAACCUUGGGGGACAACCUAAAACCACCACUUUAUUAAUUCUACUGAGUUUUGGAAAACAUAACAAGAAUCUUCAUUUCCCACUAUAGCCCCAGAAUUUCCCUUCAGGACAACUUUUCAGUUUGUUUCUACGUAAGGCUAUUACGCCUUUCUCGUCAGUAAUUCUCAAGGCAAUAGGUCAUGACGAAGAAGGAAACUGCUAGAAGGGCAAGAGGUCUCAAGUCUCAGCAGAUGUGCAUUUUAUCUAACAAGUCCUGCGGGGAUGCUGACAAACGCUCAAGCUGGAAGGGUUCCAUGUUGACCUUAGGAAGAGGCAAGAAAGCUUCGCGAGGACAAGGCUACUCUUGUCAGAAAUGGACAUUGGAAUUAGAAAGGUUUAGUUUUGGGACAGGACUUGGUUCAGUUACAUGGCAUGCUUCACCUACCUGGCUAACUUCUAAAGGCUUUGAAAAAACAUCCAACAUGCUUAAAGCAACAGGCCUGGUAUCAACGAACGAAUAAGCAAUGGGCUGACUGAUCAUACUAAAAGAGCUUGGAAUUAAGCUAAACUCUCUUCAUUUCCUUCAUUUAUAAAACAGAUCCAGUUACCUGAUACUAGCACUUGCAGCAUGUCAAACAGGACCAAGAAAACAUGAAUGACAAUUCCAUGUCUCUGUGUUUAUUGAUCUCUGGGGAAAGUUUUAUAGAGAAGAGAGAGACUUGAAACUGACAGACAGAUGUUGCUUGAAGGUCAUCAUAUAGAACUAGGCUGUCAUCCACCUUAUGAUUCUCCUGUCUCAGCUUCUUGAGUCACUGAAUGUGUACUUCAUCACGCCUAACUCAAAUUUUGAUGAUACUGAAAUCAUAAUACGCCGCCCAAGUUAAGUAUAAAGCAUCUCUCCUAGGUCAUGAGAGUGCAUCCCAGCUGUGCUUUGCUCUGACUUGAGUCUUGACAGAAGCAUUGAGCAAAACAAAGCAGGAGGCCACGCCACUCGUGUACAGAAUGACUUUUGCUAAGGGAAGGCCUCCAAUGUGACAAGC